rnacentral:rRNA from 1 species
GACGAACGCUGGCGGCGUGCUUAACACAUGCAAGUCGAACGGAAAGGCCCUGCUUUUGUGGGGUGCUCGAGUGGCGAACGGGUGAGUAACACGUGAGUAACCUGCCCUUGACUUUGGGAUAACUUCAGGAAACUGGGGCUAAUACCGGAUAGGAGCUCCUGCUGCAUGGUGGGGGUUGGAAAGUUUCGGCGGUUGGGGAUGGACUCGCGGCUUAUCAGCUUGUUGGUGGGGUAGUGGCUUACCAAGGCUUUGACGGGUAGCCGGCAUGAGAGGGUGACCGGCCACAUUGGGACUAAGAUACGGCCCAGACUCCUACGGGAGGCAGCAGUGGGGAAUAUUGAACAAUGGGCGGAAGCCUGAUGCAGCAACGCCGCGUGCGGGAUGACGGCCUUCGGGUUGUAAACCGCUUUCGCCUGUGACGAAGCGUGAGUGACGGUAAUGGGUAAAGAAGCACCGGCUAACUACGUG